GUGCUGACUUUGGCAGCACAUAUGCUAAAAUUGCCCCAAAAGAAAGAUUAGCAUGGCCCCUGGAUGCAAAUUCAUGAAAUGUUCCAUAUUUUA
rnacentral:snRNA from 1 species